UGGGGAAUUUUGGACAAUGGGCGAAAGCCUGAUCCAGCAGUGCCGCGUGUGUGAAGAAGGCCUUCGGGUUGUAAAGCACUUUUGUCCGGAAAGAAAUCCUUGGCUCUAAUACAGUCGGGGGAUGACGGUACCGGAAGAAUAAGCACCGGCUAACUACGUGCCAGCAGCCGCGGUAAUACGUAGGGUGCAAGCGUUAAUCGGAAUUACUGGGCGUAAAGCGUGCGCAGGCGGUUUGCUAAGACCGAUGUGAAAUCCCCGGGCUCAACCUGGGAACUGCAUUGGUGACUGGCAGGCUAGAGUAUGGCAGAGGGGGGUAGAAUUCCGCGUGUAGCAGUGAAAUGCGUAGAGAUGUGGAGGAAUACCGAUGGCGAAGGCAGCCCCCUGGGCCAAAUACUGACGCUCCUGCACGAAAGCGUGGGGAGCAAACAGGAUUAGAUACCCUGGUAGUCCACGCCCUAAACGAUGUCACUAGUUGUUGGGGAUUCAUUUCCUUAGUAACGUAGCUAACGCGUGAAGUUGACCGCCUGGGGAGUACGGUCGCAAGAUUAAAACUUAAAGGAAUUGACGGGGUCAUAGCUGUUUCCU
rnacentral:rRNA from 1 species